rnacentral:lncRNA from 1 species
GCGAACAAAUAAUGAUAAAGGCGGCUCUGAUGUUGAGUAGAUUAUCAUAAUUGGAGAUAGGUCAGGUACCUCGGGUACCCUGGAGUAAGGUGAUCUCUGGAUACCCUCUUGCAUCAUAAUAAACAAUACUUUUUCUAGUAGUAUGACUUUUCUUUGUUGGAUUGGUGGCCCAAAUCGAGACUGAAACCGAGUCUUCAACCGGGGUACCCCGUUUUUCAUCUUUGGGUAUUCGAGGAUCCAAAGGUGCCUCCAAUUCACAUUUGGGCUUAAUUUGUUCCCCGUGGGGUACCCCCGCAUAACUCUAGAGUAACUAGUUAUGGGGUACCCUACCACCGAGGCCUCGGUGGUGGCUCUUGCUGCUCUGGUGGUGGCGAUCUUGGAGGUUGGGGUACCCGUGAGAUACCCUAAGUGUUAAACACUCGUCCCCGCGGGGCAACCCUUGGAGGGCUCUGCAUUUGGGGUACCCUUGGUAUUGGGGCUUCCGGCCUCUUUGGCUUAUUCUUAUUCUUUGUGACCUCAACCUUACCUUUUUGGCGCUUCAAAUGACAUUUCUCAUCCAUCUCCACUUGCUGCAACGCCUGGGAACGGGCUUAAUCUAGUCCUGUGGGGUACCCCGUAUAACUCUAGAGUAACUAGCUAUGGGGUACCCUACCACCGAGGCCUCGGUGGUGGCUCUUGCUGCUCUGGUGGUGGCGAUCUUGGAGGUUGGGGUACCCGUGAGAUACUCUGAGUGUUAAACACUCGUCCCCGCGGGGCAACCCGUGGAGGGCUCCGCAUUUGGGGUAC